AUUGAACGCUGGCGGCAGGCCUAACACAUGCAAGUCGAGCGAGCGGCGGACGGGUGAGUAAUGUCUGGGAAACUGCCUGAUGGAGGGGGAUAACUACUGGAAACGGUAGCUAAUACCGCAUACCAUCAGAUGUGCCCAGAUGGGAUUAGGUAGUAGGGGGGGUAACGGCUCACCUAGGCGACGAUCCCUAGCGGGUCUGAGAGGAUGACCAGCCAAAAUGGAACUGAGAAACGGUCAAGAAUCCUACGGGAGGCAGCAGGGGGGAAGAUUGCAAAAUGGGCGCAAGCCGGAUGAAGCCAUGCCGCGUGUGUGAAGAAGGCCGGCGGGUUGUAAAGCACUUUCAGCGGGGAGGCGUUACCCGCAGAAGAAGCACCGGCUAACUCCGUGCCAGCAGCCGCGGUAAUUC
rnacentral:rRNA from 1 species